rnacentral:sRNA from 1 species
CUCACGAUUACAUUGUCUGUCUAACACCUACUUGUCUACACUCAUUAAAACUCAUGUCUUAUCUUAUUUCUUCAGAGAUGAAGUCUGUCCAUUCUAAGAGCUUGCUAAGUCCAGGUGGCGGAAGCAAGAAGCUGACUGGUCACAUAUUUAACCACAUGGCAGCAGAGACUAAUGACUGCAAGUGAGACAAGGCUAUACCCCUUCAAAGUCCACUUCAGACAGCAAGGCUGCACCUCUUAAAGUCCAUAACCACCCCAAAUGGUGCCACCAACCUGGAUGUGGGUGUCCAGAUAUGUGAACCUAUGGAGGACAUUCCUCAUUCAGACCACCACAAAGGAAAUUCAUGACGUCAGUACCCCCAGUCCCUCUGUU